rnacentral:rRNA from 1 species
UACGUAGGUGGCAAGCGUUGUCCGGAAUUACUGGGCGUAAAGGGCGUGUAGGCGGCCUUUUAAGUCAGGCGUGAAAUCCAUGGGCUUAACCCAUGAAUUGCGUUUGAAACUGAAGGGCUUGAGGAUCGGAGAGGGCAGUGGAAUUCCCAGUGUAGCGGUGAAAUGCGUAGAUAUUGGGAGGAACACCAGUGGCGAAGGCGACUGCCUGGACGACACCUGACGCUGAGGCGCGAAAGCUAGGGAGCAAACGGG